UACGUAGGGUGCGAGCGUUGUCCGGAAUUACUGGGCGUAAAGAGCUCGUAGGCGGCUUGUUGCGUCAGCUGUGAAAACCCGCAGCUCAACUGUGGGCUUGCAGCUGAUACGGGCAGGCUUGAGUUCGGUAGGGGAGACUGGAAUUCCUGGUGUAGCAGUGAAAUGCGUAGAGAUGUGGAGGAACACCGAUGGCGAAGGCAGCCCCCUGGGCUAGCUACUGACGCUCAUGCACGAAAGCGUGGGGGAGCAAACAGG
rnacentral:rRNA from 1 species